UGACCAAAAAAAAAAGAACAAAACAAUUAGGUGUAUGUUAUCACAAGAAACCAAAAUGAGAGAUUAUGUAAAGGACUGUGAGUAAGAAGAGAUGUUGCUUACAAAGAAGAAAGCUGAUGGGUCAUCUUCUUCGUCGUCUGAGUUGUUGUUUGAAAGGUUCAUGGCGUGUCGUAGCAAUAAAAGCGCCAUUAACUGUCAUUUUAAACUGUUAAAUAACGUUUCCAUCUCAAGAAAGAUAAAGCUAUAAAAGUGGAC